CAGGGCAGAAGGUGGAGGGUCUCUGUCCAAGCACCAGCAGCUUGGCCCGCUCCCCAUUGGACAGCAGCAGUGCCUGGGACUGAGGCAGCAGCAAGCCUGAGGUGUGCCACUGUUUUGUUCCAGGGACCAGGGACUCAGAGGACGAGGAGGAGGAAUGGGAUUGGCCAUGGAGGAGGUGGCCGUGGACACGGCCAUGAGGAGGCUGCUCUCAGGAACAUGCGAGUGCAGCUCCAAGGUCAAGAAAAAGACGAGGCCCAGCAACUCAUGUUCCUGCAUGCCGUCCACCCCGCGUGACUCGCUACACAGCAGAGAGGGCAGGACACAUUGGAGCCGCACUGCUGCAGGGCAGCUAUUUUGGAGAAGAUUGUGGUGAGCGAGACACAGCGCCCAGCAGCUGGAGUGAGAACAGAGAUAUGGGAGGGGCAGGGGUC